rnacentral:rRNA from 1 species
UACGUAGGGGCCUAGCGUUGUCCGGAUUUAUUGGGCGUAAAGAGCUCGUAGGCGGUCUGUCGCGUCGGAUGUGAAAAUCCAGGGCUCAACCCUGGACCUGCAUUCGAUACGGGCAGACUAGAGUGAUGUAGGGGAGACUGGAAUUCCUGGUGUAGCGGUGAAAUGCGUAGAUAUCGUGAGGAAGACCAGUGGCGAAGGCGGGUCUCUGGACAGUUCCUGACGCUGAGGCGCGAAGGCCAGGGGAGCAAACGGG